GGCCUCGGGUUGUAAAGGUACUUUCAGCAGUGAGGAAGGCGGAGUCGUAAUAGCGGCCUCGUUUGACGUUAGCUGCAGAAGAAGCACCGGCUAACUCCGUGCCAGCAGCCGCGGUAAUACGGAGGGUGCGAGCGUUAAUCGGAAUUACUGGGCGUAAAAGCGCAUGCAGGUGGUUUGUUAAGUCAGAUGUGAAAGACCCCGGGGCGUCUAAACCUCGGAAUUGCAUUUUGAAAACUGGCAGACUAGAGUACUGUAGAGGGGGGUAGAAUUUCAGGUGUAGCGGUGAAAAUGCGUAGAGAUCUGAAGGAAUACCGGUGGCGAAGGCGGCCCCCCUCGGACAGAUACUGACACUCAGAUGCGAAAAGCGUGGGGAGCAAACAGGAUUAGAUACCCCUGGUAG
rnacentral:rRNA from 1 species